UACGUAGGUCCCGAGCGUUGUCCGGAUUUAUUGGGCGUAAAGCGAGCGCAGGUGGUUUAUUAAGUCUGGUGUAAAAGGCAGUGGCUCAACCAUUGUAUGCAUUGGAAACUGGUAGACUUGAGUUGGCGAGAAGUACGCGGAAUGCGCGGUGUAGCGGUGAAAUGCAUAGAUAUCGCGCAGAACUCCGAUUGCGAAGGCAGCGUACCGGCGCCACACUGACGCUGAGGCACGAAAGCGUGGGGAUCGAACAGG
rnacentral:rRNA from 1 species